CUGGUCACUGUGCAAGUGGAGGGUUUCCUAGCUGAGUAACUGAGCUUAGGGGUGAGACCAGUGCUGGGAAGGCACCUAGGUAAUUUUGUUUCCAGGCUAAACCUACUUUGUUUGCUUGUACAGCAGUAUUCAUGGGAGUUUGCUCGGGGAUUUGUACAUGGAGAAAACAAAUGACUGUUCCCCUGUUGCACGGCACUCCAGCAGGAAGCUGCUUCUCACCGGGAGUCCCCCUGUUCCAAACAGUGCUCGCAGCCAUAGCAACACAGCUGCAGUGGAGACACUCCAUCCCCUGACAGGUCUGCAUGCUACGGCCAGGCCAAUCUGAUCCCCUGCAACAUGCACCCAUAGGGUUUGCAGGGAAAUGGUAUACCAUAGAAUCACAGAAUGGCUCGGGUUGGAAGGAUCAUCCGGUUCCAACCCUCCUGCCAUGGGGGUUGUAGAUACAUACAGGUUUAUACAUCCACGUUCUUAUUUUCAUUUCACUUUCUUUCAUUGGGUGUGUGAAAAAAGCUGGUAAGCCAUUGAAGUCAGUGUCCUUGCAGCCGGUUGCUUCAACGCACGCCUGUUUUUUUCCAGCUGUAUCGUGUGGCUUGAUAAAAGGUAUUGCCUCGCCCUGCAAAUCUUGUUUCCCUCGCCAGUAUGGCUGCACUGAUAACGGCACAAAUUACUGCAGCUUUAUUGGCUACAUCUCAGACUUCAAAAGCAGAAAGUCAGAAUCAAAGUCAUGUCGGUAUUUAUUGCGCUGCUUCCUUUUAUGCAGAGAAAGCUCUGACGAUUUCAGAAGUGCCCCGACAAACCUUCCGCCGUAUGUAAGUGUGAAAUCCUGACACCAAAAAAAUCAGUGACUGAAUAAUCCUUCCCAUCAGCACCGGGAUCUGAAUCAUUUCAUCAUCUCAGAAAUGGCCCCAGCACCUUCAGCAGCCCACACAGGCACCACACGAGCUGAGGUCGGCAGAGGUGUCAAAUGUAUUUGCUCCUAAAAUGUAGCAGUUGCUGCCUACACUGGAGUUGCUGGCUGCAGGCUCCCCGCUCUUUCUCCAAACAAAACACAGGAACGGAUUUCCU
ensembl:lncRNA